rnacentral:rRNA from 1 species
UACGUAGGCAGCGAGCGUUGUUCGGAAUUACUGGGCGUAAAGAGUGUGUAGGCGGUGCUCUAAGUUCGGUGUGAAAUCUCCUGGCUCAACUGGGAGGGUGCGCCGGAAACUGGAGUGCUUGAGCGUGGGAGAGGAAAGCGGAAUUCCUGGUGUAGCGGUGAAAUGCGUAGAUAUCAGGAGGAACACCUGUGGUGUAGACGGCUUUCUGGACCAUAGCUGACGCUGAGGCACGAAAGCGUGGGGAGCAAAAGGG